rnacentral:rRNA from 1 species
GAUGAACGCUGGCGGCGUGCCUAAUACAUGCAAGUCGAGCGAAUGGAUUAAGAGCUUGCUCUUAUGAAGUUAGCGGCGGACGGGUGAGUAACACGUGGGUAACCUGCCCAUAAGACUGGGAUAACUCCGGGAAACCGGGGCUAAUACCGGAUAACAUUUUGAACCGCAUGGUUCGAAAUUGAAAGGCGGCUUCGGCGGUCACUUAUGGAUGGACCCGCGUCGUAUUAGCUAGUUGGUGAGGUAACGGCUCACCAAGGCAACGAUGCGUAGCCGACCUGAGAGGGUGAUCGGCCACACUGGGACUGAGACACGGCCCAGACUCCUACGAGAGGCAGCAGUAGGGAAUCUUCCGCAAUGGACGAAAGUCUGACGGAGCAACGCCGCGUGAGUGAUGAAGGCUUUCGGGUCGUAAAACUCUGUUGUUAGGGAAGAACAAGUGCUAGUUGAAUAAGCUGGCACCUUGACGGUACCUAACCAGAAAGCCACGGCUAACUACGUGCCAGCCGCCGCGGUAA